UACGGGGGGGGGCAAGCGUUGUUCGGAAUUACUGGGCGUAAAGGGCGCGUAGGCGGCUUUUCAAGUCGGGCGUGAAAUCUCCAGGCUUAACCUGGAAGGGUCGUUCGAUACUGUUAAGCUAGAGUGUGGAAGAGGCUACUGGAAUUCCGUGUGUAGCGGUGAAAUGCGUAGAUAUCUGGAGGAACACCGGUGGCGAAGGCGGCAUCCUGGACCGACACUGACGCUGAGGAGCGAAAGCCAGGGGAGCAAACGGG
rnacentral:rRNA from 1 species